AGGGAUUUGGUAGAGGACAUUGGAAAUAGAUAACAACAAUUUGUUUGUGCAUUGUUCAGAUUCAACGCAGAUAGAUAACUUACAACGCUAUAUACCAAACCAACGUCCGAAUAAAUAUUUAACAGACCAUCCACCUGCCGGUACAUUAACGUUUGAAAUGAAAUGCAGUAGAAUGAACUAAGGCCGGGGAGAAACUCAUUCACAAGCACGAAUAUUUUCAUCCUCCCUUCGGCCUUCCACUGCUCUUACAGUGCCAACUAUAAUUAAGCACUGCUACUUCCACCUUGAUUUCCAUGAGCCCAGUAAGGUUUAGCAGGGGUGCGUCGUAAUGCCCUCACUCCCAAUGGGUUGUCCUUGCUCUGUUGCAGAAAAUUCAAGAAAGCACAUAAGAAAAAUAAAAAAAUAAUCAAAAAGAGAAAACCAGGACUGCUAAAUUUAAACUUGAAAGCUCAAAAGAAAAACAUCAAACGAUUUCUUAAUAGAAUCAUGCAAUGCAACCAAAUAGCUUGAAUUUAAAACAUGAAUAUCGAAAUAUUUGCCCAUUGGUCUUUGGCACACUGCUGCAAAGCCUAGAGCAGCCAAGCGUACCAACAAAAUUUAGCAUAUCUUACCAUCAAGCAGGUCCCAGCACGAACAUUACAGAUGGGAUAGUCAUGUGGGCAGCAGCUAUAGUGGUCAUCACAGCAGGUGGCAGCCUCAAGCGGGCAGCAUCCCCAUGCAAAGCAAGAGUUACCAUACUCAAAGACACAGCAGCAAGUGUUGCUCUCAGGGCAAGAGUAAUAAUUGUCACACACAGCAGGAGGCUUUGUUGGAGAUGGAGGGGACGGUCCAGGGUUGGGAGGAUUUUGGCCUUUCUUUAUGGGAUAUGAGGCCUCCAUGGCAAUUCCACACUUGCCCGUGAGAGUGCCAGCCACGUUACGCUCCAUCCUAAUAUAGCCAGCCUCUCCCCAGCUACUGCCCCAUGAAUUCUUCACAAUCCAGUAAUCAGCUCCAUUUUCUGUGCCAUAUCCAACAGCAGUAACACCAUGGUCCAGAGAUGUCCCACAUCUUCCCGUAAAUAUACCCUGAAAAUUUGCAAAGACAGAAAAAUAUACUUGAGACUUCCUUAAAACAGAUCAGACACACACAAGACUCUUCCUGAUCCUGUUUAGAAACCAUUAGAAAUACAAUAAUUUUUGUUCAAAUACCAUCCAGUAUUGUCUCAACCAUAUCUUUUCAGAACUGCAAAAUGCAAAUACUUUGUAUCUAGAUAAUAGCAACAUUCCUAAAUCUAAAAUGUGACAAGUGCCAUGAAGAGAUGAAAGUUACCGAUUCAUAUAACUGGAAUGCCAUGCCACCUCCUUCAAUGGCAACACUCACGGGUUGAUUUGCAACUGCCUUUUGCAAAGCUUUCUCGUCAUUUAGGGGAACAUCUUCAUAGUCAUCAAUUGUAACUACUUUGGCAUUUUUCUGACAAAGCCAAAAACCAAAGGCUUAGAAUGAUCCUCCAUUAUAUAGUAUGGCAUUUCUUCGUAAAACAAUAGAGUAAAAAUACCUACCCGAUAUGUGUCACAGCUACCAUCAAUGGCUUUGUAGGGGUAAUCUUCUUCUGUGUCAAUACCUCCAUUAUCAAUAAUGAACUCGAAUGCAUAGUCCAUCAAACCACCAUUACAUCCUUCAUUAUAUGAUGUAUCACAAUCCACCAACUCCUGCUCGGAUAGUGAGAUCAGGCUACCUGUAACAAUCUUGUUUAUACCCUCUACAGCUGCAAUGGUUGAAAAUGCCCAGCAACUCCCUUC
rnacentral:lncRNA from 1 species